rnacentral:rRNA from 1 species
UGGGGAAUAUUGGACAAUGGGCGCAAGCCUGAUCCAGCCAUGCCGCGUGAGUGACGAAGGCCUUAGGGUUGUAAAGCUCUUUUGGCGGGGAAGAUAAUGACGGUACCCGCAGAAUAAGCUCCGGCUAACUUCGUGCCAGCAGCCGCGGUAAUACGAAGGGAGCUAGCGUUGUUCGGAAUCACUGGGCGUAAAGCGCACGUAGGUGGGCAGUUAAGUCAGGGGUGAAAGCCCGAGGCUCAACCUCGGAAUUGCCUCUGAUACUGGCUGUCUAGAGUUCGAGAGAGGUUGGUGGAAUUCCUAGUGUAGAGGUGAAAUUCGUAGAUAUUAGGAAGAACACCAGUGGCGAAGGCGGCCAACUGGCUCGAUACUGACGCUGAGGUGCGAAAGCGUGGGGAGCAAACAGGAUUAGAUACCCGCGUAGUCCCUGAGCGGGCUGGCAAGGCGCAU